rnacentral:misc_RNA from 1 species
UUUUCAAAAGAAUAUAUUUUUUGUAAAGUAGACAAAUUUUCAUAUAAAUUUUAAUCUUUUAAAAAUUUUAAGCUUUUUAGAACACUCGAUUAAUUUCGAUUAAAUUAUUAUACAUUUUUACAGUUUCCUGUAUUCUUUAAAUCAGUUCUACAGAAAUGUGAUUUAACUUUAUCUCCUCAACCUGUGUUAAAUUUUUUUUCUUAAAUAUUUUAUUUUAUGUAUAUAGUAUUUUAUUUCUACAAAUAAUUCUUGCUUCCAUCGAUCGAUCCUCGCGGCGUUUCUAAGUAACUGAUUGUCGUUUACCUUGGAUACGUGAGUACUAGUAAGGAUUAAUAAACCAGGCAAGCUCUUGCAUUAGAGCGAAAAAUAAUUGUUGAAUUACUGAAGGCUUCUAUACUGAUCGAUUUAUCGUUGUCGAACGAAAAUCAACAUUAUGCCGCUUCAAUUUGAAGCAAGUGAAAAAAAUCCCGACGACAAUGAGGUACCGAAGUAUCAAAACACUUAUCGCAUGGAACCACAGAAUUCGUUCAAGAUCGAUCUGGUGGACAAGAUCGUGAGAUCGGUGAUGAACAAUCGUCUGGACGAGAUCAUGUACGACGAUGCGGAGGCCGUGAAAUUGUGCGGCGACAUCGCGGCGGAGAUACGACGGCGCGUGAAGAAAUUAAACUUCGAUAGGCACAAGAUUAUCGUCACGGUCAUGAUAAUCGAGAAAGCCAGCCAAUCGGUAGAAACAACCCUUAGCUUUCUAUGGGACAGCGAAAGAGAUAAAUAUUCUGCCUUUUCUUACGAGGGUCGCACUUUUCACGCUCAGUGCAGCGUAUUUGGUAUCUAUUACGAGUAACACUUGCUGCAAGCCUGUGUUUCCUGCGUUUUUCAAUAAAAUCUCGGUUACGAAAAAAAGUUUAUCACACAAAUAGUUUAGAUUAUUGGCCACGCAACCCACCUUUGCCAGCAUGUUGUCCUUUAUAAAAGAUGCCUUUUAACAUUAGCUCCGAAACAACGUUACUAAGUUUGUUAAAAACAUGCCAUCCGUUUGCGAGGCCAGAAAUGCGAUGAUAUCUGAACGAGAAUCCUUUAACUUUGCAAGGCUGUGAAAACGAAGUUUGUGAUUGGGCGCAGUGGAAGAAGAAGCUGAGUGAAAUUGCGUAUAAUUGUAGAGCGGAAAAAAUUUGUCUAGAUGAUGGCCUACAAUUUCAUUUUUUUAACAGGAUACGCUAUCAUUCCAUUACUAUUUUUCAUCUCCUACCGCUACAAGAUUGAAUACGUAGAAUGCCACUAGAAUCGAAAAAGGUGCUUUCGUAAUUUUCGUUUCUCAUUUUUGAUUAAUAAAAAAAAAAAGAAAUAUUUUGAUAUUAUUUUUAUCAUUGUAAUUAAUUUUGUCACAUAUUUAUACGUUUUUAAUAUUCGAUACUGUACAGUAUGUAAAAGUACUGAAAAAAGCUAGUGUUAAAUCGAAUUAAAUAAAAAGAAAUCUAAUAUUAAAUGUAAGCAAGAAAUGAAUUAUUUAUUACAUUGUUUUAAUCUCCUUUAACCUAAGGUUUAUCUUUGCGAGAAACAAUAGUCGGCGUUGUUUAAAAAUUAUUAAUUCAACAACUGCACAAAAUCCUAUCGGACUGAUCUUGCUGUGCUUAUGUUAGACAGAAUGACAUAAUUUUAAAUUGUUAGAGUUUUUUAUUUAAAUUCUAUAAAAAUAAUGCAUUCUCACUUCACAAAACUAUAGAGAACAAAUCAUGUCUCACUAAAGAUCAACCAAAUGACUCUAAUAAAUAAAAUAAAAAUUUACACUCAAAAGUCUUCUCAUUUUGCGCAUAUUAUAUUCACGAAAG